rnacentral:misc_RNA from 1 species
AAUCUCAAUCCUCCUAGGUUUUUGACCUGGUUGGACUUGGGCGUCUGCCAGCAAUGGCUCGCCUUAAAUGACUUAGUGGAACAUCCCGCAUCAGUGUUAGACGUAAUAAGUUUCGUCUCUCCUUGUGGUGAUGACUGCUCAUAAUCUGCCAUCGCGCACUUUUGA